rnacentral:lncRNA from 1 species
UCACUCCUCCCGUUCUCCGUGCCGCACAGGCCAAACGAUACCCACCAACACCGCCGCUCAUCUCGCCAUAUUCUCCCCCACUCUCACGACUAGGCAAUGGUCGACUAUAGCGAUGCAUGACCCUGAAGGAGCAGGGAGUGUGGGAUCUAUGGGAGGCCGCCAAUAUCCUCACCUUGCACCGCGUCGCCGACAAGCAUUGUGGCAUCACCGGAUGGGGAACGUCCACCACCUCCAAUGCUCAGCCGCCUUCCAUGGCCCCGCCACGGUUAGCAUCCCGUUCCCUUUCCCUUUUUCUCUCACUAUCUAAUAUUCUAAUUCUAUCACCCGCUCCAGAGACAUUUUCUAGAUGCCAGCGGAGGAGCUAAUCUUCAGGCACUUUUCUUGUCCUCGGAAAGAAGUAGAUUCAAUCAGUAAUUUAUCUUGUCUGCUCCUGUUCACCGCAUCGUCUUUCUCUGUAUCAUAUUGUAAGGGCAUGUACAAUGAUGUUACCUUAGAAGUGCCACGUAGGAUCAAUGAUGAGGUGAAGAAGAGAGAACUCAUAAGAAAAGAUUUGUCUUCCCUUAUUUAAGAGAAGACAAGAAAUGAUCUCUUAGCACAAUAUGUUUCACCAUAUUUUUAGGAAUUGCUAGUUACUUAAGAUAAGGCUAAGAGAUGACCCAUUGUAGACUUUUUUUGUCAUCUUUAAAUUACAUGCAAAAUUUAAGAUAAAAUUAUUUUAUCAACCAUUGUACAUGACCUAAGCCUUUGUUCUUCCAUUAUAUGCUUCGAUCGAUUGCUUUUGGUGUGCUAUGUGCUUGUACCGUUCGUAGAACCUAGCGCCUCUCACCCUUUCUCUCGCACUCACCAACAGAAAAAAGGACGCUGCCGGCAAACUCGAACUAAGGCCCGCGACGCGUGUGAGGUGAAGUCAUCUCUCACUCUAUGUCCAAUGGUCUCCUCUCUCCUUUCUCUUAAUUUUUCUAGAAAUGAAGGAGGACCCCGGUCUCUACAUUUAGACGAUGCAUGCAGCCACUUUAUUAAUUAUUCGCAUAAGACCUUACAAAAUUAUGCAACAGUAAGACUAAAGCCACCGUCUACGCAACAUCUGUCACUACUUCUAUUCAGUUGAUGAAGGGAUAUUGAAAGUCUGGGCCUAAUACCAAAUAAAUCUCGCAGCCAAACCUAACAUCUAAGACCUAAGUUCCCAACCAGGACUCCUGCCGGGUAUGGGGCAUCCACCAGUCGGGCGUACUCCUCAAUCAGGACGCCUGCCGGGUAUGAGGCCGCCGCAGCCACCUGCCACCAAUCCAUCUUCAGUGUUGUACUGCUGCAUCUACCUUGCCCGGUCUAUCUGCCGUCGACGCCACGAUGACGCCAGACAGCUACCUCCUCCUGCGCGAGUCCAUCUUCACGCAUCGGACGCCGAGUCUCCACUGCGCCACGCUGCCGAGAUCCGUCGUCAUCAAUGGGCAAGAUGAAGCACCGCUCCUCCUUUUGUCCCCUCCAGCCAGCACUUGCUCCAAAACGAUGCCCCCAGAAAGGAGAACGACAGAACGUCGUCAUCGUCCGAUCCGGUAGAUCUAGAUCUAGGGUUUUCCCCCAGAACCUCCCGAUCAGGUUAACGUGACCUGCAACGACAAUGCCUCGAGAAGGCAAUGACGUCCGAGACACCGCCAUCGUCCGCCAUGACCGCAGUCAGGCGCAAUUUUCACCGGAAGCCAUGCCAUCCCGAUCUCGCGGCUCGCUGGAACCGAGCGAAGCCUCGCCACAAAGACGUACGCCGCCAUCGGUAUUCCGGCAAAGAUCCGUCAUCUCCUCACCAGUCCCUCCACGUGUCGCCGGUCGGUGGAAGGCCACCCCGCGGCGGAUCCGAUCAGGGCGUUGGAUCUGCAGCCACCGCCGUCAACAUCUUCGCACAGAUCAGCCAACCUCGUCGGAUGGCGCGCUGCCACCGCCGUCCAUCUCAGGGCCGCCGCUCCACGGGUAUGGUGCUUCGGCCACCGCCGCAUGGCAUAGGGUCGCCGCCCAAGCCUCCGCCUUCGAAUUCCCACGAGAGGUGCCGCCCCUGCUGCCUCAGAUGGGAUCACGCAGCAUCCACCCACCCAGGUGCCUUCGGCGUCGGGCCCGCCGCCACCGCAGCCCACGCCGGCGGCAGCGGCGGCAGAGGGAGGCGUAAGGGGCGACAUGCGGCGCUAGGGUUCAGGGGGCCCUAGCGUCGCCCAGGGGGAGGCGACGCGGGGGGAGGGGGAGAAUGGCGAGCACGAGGAGCUCACGGAGGCCGGGCCUCGCCUUCUCUCUAUGUUUGUCUAUUGGUUCUUGAUUCAUGUCGUGUGUGUGAUCUAGAUUGUUGCCCGUCACUAAGGUGCUGUUGGGGAAACGGCAUGACGCAGAUCGGAUGACGGAGGCCAUGGAGCGGAUUCGUGUGAUCCAGAUUGCUGCCCGUCAUUAAGGCGAUGUGUGUUUGCUUCGUUUUGGGCUGGCUCCCUGUGUGUUGUAGUUCAGUUUCUU